CGGUUUUGAUGGUCAAUCUUUUUUUUUUUUAAAGAACAAGUUAGUCCUUGACUACAAUCUCACCUGAUGAUAAAUGAUGAUGCAACUUACUAACUUGUUAAGAGGAGGAUGGAAAUCCACACCCCUUUCGGUUUCUACAUGGCAUCGUACCGGAACGGUAAAUCGUUUGGUUGUACGUCUUUUCCGGUAGGUAACUAGCCACGGCCGAAGCCUCCCACCAGCUGGGCCAAUUAAGAAAACCUCAACCGGCCCAGCCGGGGAUCAAACCCAGAACCUCCGUCUUGUAAAUCCACCGCGCAUACCACUACGCCACGGAGGCCGUCAAAGUCUGACAGGUUUUUCACCAGUGACGUUCCUGGUGUAAAACUCGAAUCUUUGGAUUUUAUACUUGCGAUAUCGGUUUACUGUUUUUUUCUGACUUAAGGGCGCAAAAAUUAGUAAAAGUUAUUUUUUUUUUAAGUUGCAUUGUAAACAAUGGAAGUUACAAAUAAUACCUAAAUAUUGUCUACGAUGUCAAGUUGUGUGUAUGAAGUGUAAAAACUAACUUAAUAUAUAAAUGCGACAGGUCAUUCAUCAUGAAAUUUCGAAAACCAUAUUUUGUGAUAGGGCUGGAUUAAAGAGGUCUAAGGGCGGACGAAGGUACGGGUGUCUGCUAGUAUAUACAUUAAUAUACAACGUGUCCCAAAAUUCAACGAUAAGCGGGCGCCAAAAGAUUGACCUGCUCAUGAGCACUUAACACGUUGACGGACAGUACUGCCUGUAGGCGUCAAGCCAGUCAGAAGUAAUACGACAGUACGCCCUUCGACGUCGAUCUUUUGACUAGUUUAAACACAGUACGCCAUACGACGUAAAAUUUUACCGGCAAUCAUAAGGAAGGGCAUGUUGUACUGUCACCGAAGAUAUAUUUUAGACUUUGUACUGUCACCACACAAUGUUAAAAAAUCUGUUCAAAGAAAGUACCUGCACUCACACAUCCAAAUUUUAUUGGCACCACCCUUACACACACUACGCCCAUAGCCGUCGUGUUUUCAUACAUUUUGUUUAGUACUGCGCCACGGCGGUGCGCCGACAGGUCGUUACGUGAUUUCGCGCGCAAUUAUUUUUUCGAACAUGGCAUUUUCUCGCAAUUCAUAUGAAAAAGAACAAAAGCGGAUUCAGGACCUAUUUGACGCUGUUUUGACUUCUGAAUCGAGUCAUGACCCCUUCGAAGAUGAUGGAGAAUUCGGAUCCGAUGCCGAUUUUCAACCAUCUGGUGAAGUAUCUUCGAGUUCCGAGGAUGAAGCUCAGGCAUCACAAAUCCGUUCUGUCAUAUCAUGUGUUAUUAUAAUAGUUGCGCUGUGACGCUACGCCUAUGGGCAAUGUAUGAAAAAUAGUACUGUCUCAGCAACCAUAACAUGUGAGAGAGUACUGUCCGUCAACGUGUUAAGGAAAAAUAAUAAAAAAAAUAUACCUAAAUUUUUUUUUUAGUUACAAAAUAAAUUUUAAAAUUCUUUGAAAAUUUACACCUUGUAUGAUAUUUUGAACUACCGCAGCUACAAUUUCUUAAAUAUGCUUAAGAUUUUUUUUGUAUCGGAACCUAAGUAGUACUACUAUUCACCACAACUCUUAAAAACACCACAAUGCCCGCAGUUUUUACACAAAAAAAAAUCAAAAUAUUUUUUUUCCCUCAAAUUUUUAAAGAUUUUUACUUUCAGUCUACUUUGACUCAUGGUCUUGCAAAAAAAAGUAUGAACACCGCUAUGGCAAGUUAUUUUCAAAGUUGACGCAACUAAUCAAGAUUUCAAAAUAGUAUAAUACCCUAGGAUAACUA